AUUGAACGCUGGCGGCAGGCCUAACACAUGCAAGUCGAGCGGAUGAGUGGAGCUUGCUCCAUGAUUCAGCGGCGGACGGGUGAGUAAUGCCUAGGAAUCUGCCUGGUAGUGGGGGACAACGUUUCGAAAGGAACGCUAAUACCGCAUACGUCCUACGGGAGAAAGUGGGGGACCUUCGGACCUCACGCUAUCAGAUGAGCCUAGGUCGGAUUAGCUAGUUGGUGAGGUAAAGGCUCACCAAGGCGACGAUCCGUAACUGGUCUGAGAGGAUGAUCAGUCACACUGGAACUGAGACACGGUCCGGACUCCUACGGGAGGCAGCAGUGGGGAAUAUUGGACAAUGGGCGAAAGCCUGAUCCAGCCAUGCCGCGUGUGUGAAGAAGGUCUUCGGAUUGUAAAGCACUUUAAGUUGGGAGGAAGGGCAGUAAGUUAAUACCUUGCUGUUUUGACGUUACCAACAGAAUAAGCACCGGCUAACUUCGUGCCAGCAGCCGCGGUAAGAC
rnacentral:rRNA from 1 species